CGCGGCCUAUCAGCUUGUUGGUGAGGUAAUGGCUCACCAAGGCGACGACGGGUAGCCGGCCCGAGAGGGUGACCGGCCGCACUGGGACUGAGACACGGCCCAGACUCCUACGGGAGGCAGCAGUGGGGAAUAUUGCACAAUGGGCGAAAGCCUGAUGCAGCAACGCCGCGUGCGGGAAGAAGGCCCUAGGGUUGUAAACCGCUUUCAACAGGGAAGAAAAUGACGGUACCUGCAGAAGAAGGUGCGGCCAACUACGUGCCAGCAGCCGCGGUGACACGUAGGCACCAAGCGUUGUCCGGAUUUAUUGGGCGUAAAGAGCUCGUAGGCGGUUCAGUAAGUCGGGUGUGAAAACUCUGGGCUCAACCCAGAGACGCCACCCGAUACUGCUGUGACUUGAGUACGGUAGGGGAGCGGGGAAUUCCUGGUGUAGCGGUGAAAUGCGCAGAUAUCAGGAGGAACACCAGUGGCGAAGGCGCCGCUCUGGGCCGAAACUGACGCUGAGGAGCGAAAGCAUGGGUAGCAAACAGGAUUAGAUACCCUGGUAGUCCAUGCCGUAAACGUUGGGCACUAGGUGUGGGUCUCAACCAACGAGAUCCGCGCCGUCGCUAACGCAUUAAGUGCCCCGCCUGGGGAGUACGG
rnacentral:rRNA from 1 species